rnacentral:lncRNA from 1 species
AUGUACCUGUUCAACAUCUAUAUAAGGCUGCUAAACGUUUUUGUAAGUGAAAAUCAAGGUUAUGUGCUGCAGCAGUUGUCCUGUGCACAGCUGAUCCUCGUGCUUCUCUGCUGCUUGAGGCUGCAGCCAUUCUGUGCUCCCUGCUGUGGCUGCACCGAGAUGCUCAGAGGCUCACCCAGGAACACUGAGAUUUCCUAGUGGUAAUUAUUUCCCAUUGACUCGGACCAAAGGACGGUGUGGACACCUAACAAAUAGUAAGUUUAUGCCUUGUUUUUGUUAUUCGUAUUUCAUCAUUGACCUGGAGAAGAUGAAAAUGUUUGAUUAAUUGCAAAUUCUAUAUUGUAAGUAUUAAUGCUGUAUAACUGUAUGAAUCUAUUACUGAGAGAUAUUGAUGAUGUAAUUUAGCUCUUCUUAUCUGUUACUUACCAUAACUGUUUUGUCAGAUACCGAUAAGUGUAUUGUUCUGCAUUGAAGAUAAUACAACCUCUGAAAUAAGCACUAAUUUACAUGUCUGAGCAAACAUAGCCCAUAUUUUAAUAUUUUUUGUAUUUAUAGAUUUGCUUAGAAUGCAAAGUAGUUCUCAUUUCUCCACUUGUGUUUUUAUUCAGGAUAAAAAUGCAUCUUAAAAACAGCUUUUUGAUUGCACAAUAUAAAAUGUUACUGGUAAUUUUACAAAAAUGUGGACAGUAUAGAAGAAAUUCUGGGGUGGUUGUUGGUGGUUAUUAUUAUCAUCUUUUAAAGAAAACUUAUCGUAUGUGUUAUUUUUAGUCUGUUUUAUGUUGUAUCCUGCUAGAAAGAAUAGAGAGGUAUGAACGUUACCGGCUAAGAUCUUAUUAUUUUUAAUGAAGCACUAGUAAAAACUCAUUGGUUUUUCAAUUUUACUUUGAAUACAGAAACCACAGAAAUAAUUUAGAACUGUCAACUUUAAGUUGUAAGCUGUUUGUUUUGGAUGAAAUGGUAUGUGAUUUUUUUUGUGUGUUCCUUUAUAUGUGUAUACAAUGCUGGAAUAUCAACUUAGCAUGUUGUAGGGAAACAAGCUGGAGUAAGUGCUUUGCUUUUUAACAUUACCAAGAAUCCAAAGACAACCAUGUGAAGUUUGAUUGCAGCUUCAGUACUUAGAUCACAAAUUAUUUAACAAAUAGCUUCCAAAGUAUUGUCUUUGAUAUCUGAUUGAAUUGGGGAAUGUUAAGAAGUCACUUUUGUAUCUGAAUUUAUUUUCUACUCCUAGUUCUUAGUAUCCUCUUCACUUUCAAUUUCCUACAGGAUUUGUUUCUCUCAUGGUUUUGAGCCAUUUGCUGCCUCCUAAUGACUGACUUUUAAAACAGCAAACACGGAUAAUUCUCCCCCCAAACUUUCUGAAACUCACUGUUGCAUAUUUUGUCUGCCAUUUUUCAUAUAUGUGGAACUGAUGAAGAGAUCUGUGAAGUUAGUAGCUUUGCUCUUUGAUAUCUCAGCAGUUCAGAGAGUGCAUUAAUGGGAAACUUUCCUAGUGCUGAGUAUGGAAACAAAGAUACAACUAGCUGAAUUCCUCUGAAUCGUGUUGUUUAUGUAACAUAACAUUGCUUUCACAGGCUUGCAAGCUGGUAUUAUAUGUUGUUUGUUUUAGUUAAAUGUUUGUCUCCCACCUGUCUCCCUUCCCCUUGCUUAAUAUUAAACAACCUUUAUUUUUUUUAGUUUUACAUCCUUCCUACUGUAUACCUUCUUUAACUUAUAUUUUUCGUUAAAGACUGUCAAACCUAAUGAGUUUUAAAUGGCUAUUUAACAAAUGAAGCAACAACAGAGCAAGAGGGUAAGACCAAGAUAAGACCUGAUGGUCUUAUCGUGGAAUCAAAGUUGGUGGUCAUAGUAUGUGCUUUUUGAAGCACAGUGUAGCACCACUUUGCUUGAAAACUUUGAGACCUGUUUCAAUACAAAUAAAUACUAAUGAUUAUAUGGGACA